GAGCUGGGCUGAGCUGGGCUGAGCUGGGCUGAGCUGAGCUGGGCUGAGCUGAGCUGAGCAGGUGCUGCUCCAGGCU
rnacentral:miRNA from 12 species